rnacentral:rRNA from 1 species
AUUGAACGCUGGCGGCAGGCCUAACACAUGCAAGUCGAACGGUAACAGGAAGAAGCUUGCUUCUUUGCUGACGAGUAGCGGACGGGUGAGUAAUGUCUGGGAAACUGCCUGAUGGAGGGGGAUAACUACUGGAAACGGUAGCUAAUACCGCAUAACGUCGCAAGACCAAAGAGGGGGACCUUCGGGCCUCUUGCCAUCGGAUGUGCCCAGAUGGGAUUAGCUAGUAGGUGGGGUAACGGCUCACCUAGGCGACGAUCCCUAGCUGGUCUGAGAGGAUGACCAGCCACACUGGAACUGAGACACGGUCCAGACUCCUACGGGAGGCAGCAGUGGGGAAUAUUGCACAAUGGGCGCAAGCCUGAUGCAGCCAUGCCGCGUGUAUGAAGAAGGCCUUCGGGUUGUAAAGUACUUUCAGCGGGGAGGAAGGGAGUAAAGUUAAUACCUUUGCUCAUUGACGUUACCCGCAGAAGAAGCACCGGCUAACUCCGUG